GACGAACGCUGGCGGCGUGCCUAAUACAUGCAAGUAGAACGCACAGUUUAUACCGUAGCUUGCUACACCAUAGACUGUGAGUUGCGAACGGGUGAGUAACGCGUAGGUAACCUGCCUGGUAGCGGGGGAUAACUAUUGGAAACGAUAGCUAAUACCGCAUAAUAUUGAUUAUUGCAUGAUAAUUGAUUGAAAGAUGCUAUUGCAUCACUACCAGAUGGACCUGCGUUGUAUUAGCUAGUAGGUGAGGUAACGGCUCACCUAGGCGACGAUAGCUAGCCGACCUGAGAGGGUGAUCGGCCACCCUGGGACUGAGACACGGCCCAGACUCCUACGGGAGGCAGCAGUAGGGAAUCUUCGGCAAUGGACGAAAGUCUGACCGAGCAACGCCGCGUGAGUGAAGAAGGUUUUCGGAUCGUAAAGCUCUGUUGUAAGAGAAGAACGGGUGUGAGAGUGGAAAGUUCACACUGUGACGGUAUCUUACCAGAAAGGGACGGCUAACUACGUG
rnacentral:rRNA from 1 species